rnacentral:rRNA from 1 species
UACGUAGGGUGCAAGCGUUAAUCGGAAUUACUGGGCGUAAAGGGCGCGUAGGCGGCCUGCUAAGUCGAACGUGAAAUCCCCGGGCUCAACCCGGGAACUGCGUCCGAGACUGGCGGGCUUGAAUUCGGGAGAGGGAUGCGGAAUUCCAGGUGUAGCGGUGAAAUGCGUAGAUAUCUGGAGGAACACCGGUGGCGAAGGCGGCAUCCUGGACCGAUAUUGACGCUGAUGCGCGAAAGCCAGGGGAGCAAACGGG